rnacentral:lncRNA from 1 species
GAGAACUCAAAGCUGCUCGUCCUUCCCCACCCUGGCCCCUCUUCUAUGACAUUCAUAGCUUCAGAUUCUCUUCCGGCCUGUGCUGUUAAACAGUUUCCCCAGAAAUUGAAGCAUCUUUUCCUCUAGGGAAGUUCCUUGAACAGGAAGGUAAACAACUCCGAAACCUACCAGAUCCAGUAGGCCCUGCCCUCCAGAGUAAACUUUAUUGACCACUUUGUAGCUGAAGAGUCCCUCUCAGAAGAGCAGGGCCAAGCUUCAAGUGAUACUAUCAGAUGGCCAGCUGCCUGUAAGAGGUUUAGACCAACCGAGGCACCUGGAAAAGACACUCUCCAAGUUGUUGAGCCGCCUGCAGGCUGUGCAGUGUGCUCCAGGUUCCUAGAUUUGUGAGCUGUCACCCAUGCUGGGAUGGGCCUUGGUGAUGCAGCUGUCUUUGAGUCAUUUCUGCUACUGUCUACAAAUGAAUCAGAAGAAAUGCAGAAGAGUGUUCUCAUGGUUCUGGAACACAGAAAGUUUAUGAGCCCUCCGCGAUGCCAUUCACAAUGUGGUAACCCAGAUGACAGAAGCUUGCCCAUCAGAAGCUGAAUUAACAGAACUGUCCAAUUGGGGACUUUCAAUCUUCGAAAUCAAAGGCUAAAUAAAAUUAUCUUCUUAUCAAUAAAGCUUCCAACCUCAAGUAUUUUAUUAUAGUAACUAGACACUGGCUGAUACAGCACUCCACACAGAGAGGACUGGUUAUCAGUCUCUCUCCCUGUUAUUCAGCACACACCACCCAGAUUACGAAAGCAGGUUUUGGCUUUCCUUUUAAAAAUCAGCUUUGUUUUCAGAUACCCUCUCACUCAGAUAGCAUUAAAACAGGAAGAGAAGUAACGUUGGAAUCUAAAAGAUGGCCACCAGCCCCCAAUUCUGGAUUCUGCAUUCUCUGUGCUCCAGCAAGCUUUGCACAUUACCAGAAACUCUGGGAUUUGGAAUGCCAGGCAACUCAGAGCAACCUAUGCCCAGAGGUGUGUGUGCCCAUGAGCAAGGCAGGCCCGUUUGGCCCAGAUGGCAGAACUUGCCAGCAAGAAGGAAGUAACAGGGUGGUCUGUGGGGUAUUCAUUUGCCAAUUAGUGGCUUCUCUCGGCCCAGUCUCUGGCCUCCACAUGUCCAGGGUUUAAGUCUGCC